rnacentral:rRNA from 1 species
GCGGCAGGCCUAACACAUGCAAGUCGAGCGGCAGCACGGGAAGCUUGCUUCCUGGUGGCGAGCGGCGGACGGGUGAGUAAUGCAUAGGAAUCUGCCCGGUAGUGGGGGAUAACCUGGGGAAACCCAGGCUAAUACCGCAUACGUCCUACGGGAGAAAGCAGGGGCUCUUCGGACCUUGCGCUAUCGGAUGAGCCUAUGUCGGAUUAGCUGGUUGGUGAGGUAAUGGCUCACCAAGGCGACGAUCCGUAGCUGGUCUGAGAGGAUGAUCAGCCACAUCGGGACUGAGACACGGCCCGAACUCCUACGGGAGGCAGCAGUGGGGAAUAUUGGACAAUGGGCGCAAGCCUGAUCCAGCCAUGCCGCGUGUGUGAAGAAGGCCCUCGGGUUGUAAAGCACUUUCAGUGGGGAAGAAAGCCUUCCGGUUAAUACCCGGGAGGAAGGACAUCACCCACAGAAGAAGCACCGGCUAACUCCGUGCCAGCAGCCGCGGUAAUACGGAGGGUGCGAGCGUUAAUCGGAAUUACUGGGCGUAAAGCGCGCGUAGGUGGCUUGAUAAGCCGGUUGUGAAAGGCCUGGGCUCAACCUGGGAACGGCAUCCGGAACUGUCAGGCUAAAAUGCAGGAAA